AACGAACGCUGGCGGCAGGCUUAACACAUGCAAGUCGAACGCACCGCGAGGUGAGUGGCAGACGGGUGAGUAACACGUGGGGAUCUGCCCAAUGGUACGGAAUAGCUCCGGGAAACUGGAAUUAAUACCGUAUGAGCCCGCAAGGGGAAAGAUUUAUCGCCAUUGGAUGAACCCGCGUCGGAUUAGCUAGUUGGUGUGGUAAGGCGCACCAAGGCGACGAUCCGUAGCUGGUCUGAGAGGAUGAUCAGCCACACUGGGACUGAGACACGGCCCAGACUCCUACGGGAGGCAGCAGUGGGGAAUAUUGGACAAUGGGCGCAAGCCUGAUCCAGCCAUGCCGCGUGAGUGAUGAAGGCCUUAGGGUUGUAAAGCUCUUUCGCCGACGAAGAUAAUGACGGUACUCGGAGAAGAAGCCCCGGCUAACUUCGUGCCAGCAGCCGCAGUAACAC
rnacentral:rRNA from 1 species